ACAAAAUGAAACAGUGCUUCCGUCUCUCUCGCUCUGCGCUUCUCACAACUCCAAACAAUCGCUUUCAGCGAAUCGCUCCCCCAUCGCUCUCUUGCCGUCGACGCUCUCAAUCUUCAUUCUCUCACUUAUCUCUCUCAAUCUCUCGAUCGCUCAACCUCGCUCACCGCCGCUCUCCAUCGCUCUUCUCUCGUCUCCCUCUCUCAACCUAAACACAAAAAAAAGAUUUCUAGUAGAGAAACAAAUAGGACGGCUCACCUUCGGUGGUGACGGUGAGCUUAAUCCUCUUCUCUCUGCUAGGUUCCUCCUGCAGUCAACAAAAUCAGGCUUCGCUUCCAAAAGCUUAGGGUUUUGAUUUGAUACUCAAAAGCUCAAAGAAGCAAAUUCCAGAAGUGCUUUUUCUGCUCAAAAACGAGUUUGUCCUAUUUGAUGCUAUUAUCCGGAAACGUGAAUUCAGAGUAUUGGUCUGAACUUGGUUUUACUUGGGAUUCGUUGCUGCAGGAUAGUAACAAAUGUCCGUUGGGUUAAUAUCCGGUUGCAAACAUCUCUAAGGUACAGUAGAGAAUUGAUGGUGUCGUUCUUCUAGCUUCCGUUAUGUCGCUUAUUGAGGUAGGUUGGAUUUAGUUACUUUGCACUUUUUUAAUGAUGCUGAUUCUAGUUUUUCUGCAAUAACUACAAGAAUUUCUCGCAAUAACCGUUCAUGCUCCUCUGGAUUCUUAAGCUUGUGGUAGUUCUUCAGAUAGUUGAAGCAAGACACCGAGGUUAGACUAUGCAUAGUUGCAACCUUUGUCGCAGUCAACAGCAGCUUUGCAUCAAGGGAAGCCAAACAUAUCGAAAAAGCCUGGUAACAAGUCAAAGGAUAUCUAUAGUCCAUAACAAACUUAGAUUUUGCCACCCUCCCUAGCUGCAAAAUUGUCUGCUUCCCAUUCUCCUCUAAAGUGAACUGAAAGUUUUUAACUGAUUUCUGAAUUACAAGUCCUGUUCUUCCUUUAUCCCUAUAGUCAAGCUCAAUUUGCUUUGUACUCUUGUUAUAGAGUGGAUCCUUUGAGUAUAGUUGAUGAACUUUGUCCAAUUUUCCUUUCCAAUUGAGUGGCAAACCCUUACUAUGUUGCACCUGUGAAGUGUUCUUGAAAGACAUAGCUUGAUGAUUAGGUAUAUAUGCUUUGAUACUUCUAUGAGUUCCUGUACAUGUUGGUAUUGUAGGUACAUACUCAACAACAGCAAGAGGCUGCUUUGAAUUUGGUUGAUUACUUUUGGAUUUGGAAUUAGGACAAUGUUUAUGAUCCCAAAUGUUGUAUUUUGAGCCGGUGAGGUUCGCUGUUACUGUCCCGAGGAAAGUUUCGUCGGAAUAAAAGAGUAAUCCUUUUUUUUUACUGCUAUGAGUUUUCUGUUGGAUAUUAAUUGAGUUUUCUUCAGUUUGUUUUUUUUUUCUUGCAGGCUAUGGUUGAUUUGCUGCUACUAUGCAUGUUGAUCCGUCAUGAAAGUUUUGCAGGUUUGAGGUUUUGGCCAGGUGACAUGAUGGACCGGGAACAAAGAAAUUGAUUGUAGUUUCCAAGAGCAAACUCUUAUGAUGUUGGUGCAGUUGGUAGCAUUUUAAACAUAUCUUGUUUUACUGCAGGAACAUGUGUCGAAGGUAUCGACGGCAUGAUGCGUCACAUGUAUGUGGUGUGAGGUUACUGUCACGGUUGUUCUUCCGGCAGGGUCAUGGCAGGUUUUACAACGCUAACCAACAGUACCGACGGCUGCAAAGAAAAUAGAGCGCACAACCAAUGUGAUAUCGGCAUCAUCGGUAAAGAUUGCUCCGGGUAAAUUGUUCCUCUCAAAAACUUCAGCAAUCAGCUUUGUAAUUAUCAAUGGAGUAGUUGGCGCACCCUUCCAGACAACCAUGUUACCGCCGACUAGUGCAAUG